AUAAAAUGCAGCUUGAUACAUCUUUUGGUUUCAGGUAUCAACAAGAAGGCAUAAAUUGGCUAGCAUUUUUAAAGCGAUAUAACCUUCAUGGCAUCUUAUGUGAUGAUAUGGGUCUAGGUAAAACCCUUCAAUCAUCAACAAUCGUGGCAUCUGAUGUAGCAGAGUGCAUUGCUGUUAAUGCUAAUGAUCUACCACCAUCAUUAAUAGUUUGCCCAUCACUGCUUGUUGGGCACUGGGUGAAUGAGAUAGAUAAGUUUAUUGAUUCUUCUCUUUUAGCAUCACUUCAAUACAUCGGUUCUGCUCAAGAGCGCUCGUCUCUUCAACCACAAUUUGAUAAGCACAAUGUUAUUGUAACAUCAUAUGUGAUAUGACGUAGUCCGUAAAGAUAUUGAUUAUCUCAGCCAACUUUUCUGGAGCUACUGCAUUUUGGACGAGGUACAUAUAAUAAAGAACUCAAAGUCCAAAGUCACAGGUGCAGUGAAACAAUUGAAGGCUCAGCACCAUCUGAUACAGAGUGGAACACCAAUCCAGGUUCAUUUUAAUUUUAGCUUCAGUUGGCUAGAAAUUAGCUUGUACUUUACCUGACGAAACUUCUACAUCUAAUUACAGAAUAACAUGUUGGAUCUUUGGUCUCUUUUUGACUUUCUCAUGCCAGGAUUUCUUGGAACAUAAAGACAAGCACGUGAUGUAGCCUAUUUUUCUUUUCCAUCUUUUGUUACGGUGAUUGCGUACUUAUCCCCCUCCCUCUCACAAUUAAAAAAAAAAAACAUUUAUAUGCAUGCUCCUAUGUUUUUAGUAAUUUAUUUAUCAUGAUAUACUCUCAGAAAAUCUCUAGAUGAUCUGUUGCUAAUAUCUUUGUUAGACAAAGUGGAGCAGUGUGUAAACUCUAUUUCCUCUCCCUGGUUACAUGGUUGUACAUGUAUUGAUUUUCAUAUAAUACUCAGUCGACUUCAUAUUACAUAGUUUUGUUGUGAAUGCUUAUUAUUACAUCCUUUUGCAAUCCUUGGAGUGAAGGUGUCACAUAAAUUUAGAUUUCAUCAUUUUUGUGUAAUAUAAUCCUUGUAUUCUUCAUAGAUAAGGCUCUUUUAUUUACCGAUCUAUUCUGUUAUAUGUCCCUAUCCGAACACAAUUGAAGCGUAGCGUCAGUAUCUAUUGCAUUUAAUUGGGUUCUAACCCAUUACCAAAGUAGAGUAGAAUAUUCAUAUUUUGUGGAAUUGUUACUCUUCAAAAAUAUUGAGUUUUAAAAUUGUAUAAUGUCAUGUGGGAUAACGCUGAAGGUUGCAUAUUUAAAUAUUUGGUGUUAAAACUUGUCUCCAAGUUUAAUAUGAUUUUCUUUGCCUACUUUACCUCUCUUUUGGUGCUAAGACUGAUAUAAAAUCAUCUUUAUUUUUAAAGGUUGGAGCUCCAACUCGUGUUGGUCUAGUCGCUUCAGUAGAUGUUAUUGUCCCACCAGGCAACAUUGGACUUGAUCCAUCCCAGACUUCUUUUUUCCAGUUAAUGGUUAUUUUCUGAAUGGAUUGGUGUUCGAACAUGUCUGAACAGCGUGGCUUUCAUGUGGGGAAGAGGGAUGAUGUUAAUGGGUGUAUAGAAAUAUGCAUAUGGGCUGUCCCUAACUCUUUGUUUACAGUUACACAAGGGGGGGAAAGGUUGCAUUAGUGAUGCUGGUUAUAAGUUACGAUGUUAUGCCUCUAAAUACCCAUCAACUAAUUUUUAGAUUAAUGAAAU
rnacentral:lncRNA from 1 species